ACGGAUGUGCUGGAAUGGUAGACAGGUUCCGCUUAGGACGGAAUAGUUAAAACUGUAUAAGUUCAAGUCUUAUUAUCCGUA
rnacentral:tRNA from 1 species